UGCCCAGGGAAGCAGUCGAGUCACUGCCCUGGGGGUGUUCAAGGAAAGGUUGGACCUGGCGCUUAGGGACAUUGUUUAGGGGGUGACAUUGGUCGUAGGGGGAUGGUUGGACCAGAUGAUCUUGAAGGUCUUUUCCAACCUUAAUUUGUCUAUGAUUCUAUGAAAAAUUUAAAAAACAUCCUAUCA